GAAGAGUGGUAACUCUUUCGGGCGCUCAUUCCAUCGGUGAUUCCCAUUGCUCAUCCUUUGCCAAAUGCUUAUACUCAUUCAAUUCAACAUACUCUCAAGAUCCAUCACUGGAUCCCACCUAUCCUAAUUACCUAAAAGGCCUACGCCCCCCUUCUGCAAGCACGAGCCUGAACCCGAGCUGAGAAACGGUCGUGUUAUUCAAUCCUACAACACCUAUCAAGAUUGAUAACAAUUACUAUAAGAAUUUGAAAAAUAGCAAUGGAAUAUUGGUUUCUGAUCAGGUCCUAUGGAACACACCUUUAACUAGACUAUCAGCGAAGAAAAAUUCAAAUCAUCAAGAUUAUUGGGCUACCAAAUUUGCUGCAGCAAUGGUGAACGUGGGAUCAAUUGAAGUUCUAACAGGGAAUCAAGGAGAGAUCAGGGGAAAAUGCUGGCUUGUGAAUUAAAUCAAAAUGCUAUCAUUAUUUUUUCCUAGUUUCUUUCUUUAUAAUGGGGCGUACUUUUUAUUUUAUUUUAUUUUUUGUUUAAUUUGCUUGUCAUUUUGAUGUGUUUUUCGUGAGAAUAUUUUGUUUACCUGUG
rnacentral:lncRNA from 1 species